AAGAGAGAGAGAGAGAGAGAGACCCCAAAGGAUUCUAGAUGUGAGUGGAGGCACCAUUUCUGAUUUGGGAAUACCUAAAACUCAACAGUGGUACGAAGAAGAAGCUUCUGCUGAGGACCUGCAUGGGCCAGGGAGCUUCGACCAAGACAUGGGAAGGGGCUGAGAAGGUUUCCACCUGCAGCAUACCUGAUGGGGAAGGCCAGAGGGAGGAGAGCGAGGACGAAGACCCUCGGCCUCCCACCCACACUCCCUUUUCUUCACUGGUGCCUUCAGAUCGGGGGCAGGUGGGGGUUGUGGUCAGGAUAAUGAUCAGGAUGUACUACUUGUCUAGAGGAACCAGAUUUUUUUAUUUUUUAUUUUUUUGAGAGCCAUGUGGAAGUCAAGAAGUGGACUUGAUCUUAAGGGAGGAACAGAGAUCCUGGGUCAACCCAAGCCUCGUAGAGAAAGCGCGUGGUGGACAUUCGCCCUGGGAGCCGGGGGAUGAGGCUGUUUGUUCUUCUCCGGAGCACUGUGGAGUGUGGCUCUUGAGCUCUUUGGGCCUCAGACCUCUUCAGGAUCCGGCAGAAGCUGUCUCCCUCUGCCCUGCCGGCCGCACACAUGCACGGGACAGCGAUUACACGGCAGCCCCUCAGAAGCCCAGCUGGGCCCUGCGUUAGGAAGGAGUCCUUCAGGAAGGGGACAGCCCUGAGCCCAGGCUCCCUGGUAUCUGGGCUAAUGAGGGAUGUUAAUGACACGGAGGGUCCAGAAUGAGGAAAAUCGAAACCAGAUUUCUAUCGCGUGAGCUAAAAAGAAGCACGACACACGUCCCGCGUUGCAAUUUUGUAAAAAAGAUACACCGGUAAAGAGAGAACGGUGAAGGCCGUGUGGAGAAAUGAAAACGAUUUGCAGAAAAUGUUUGCUGAUCCCUGGUCUAGAAGCCCGGCUCUGCACCUUGCUCUCCUCGUCUGUGUAAUGUGGAAUCCGAGUUCCCUUCAUCGGUUUGAGGAAGUUCCUUCCUUUUCUCUGGUUUGCGGAGAGUUUUUCUCAAGAAUGGAUGUUGGAUUUUUGUCCAAUGCCUUUUCUGCGUCUUUUGAGAGGAGCAUUAUGGCUUUUCUUUUGGAGUCUAUUAACACGCUCUUCUGUUCCAGGUUGAGCUGCCCGCUGGUUCCGGAGAAAGGACAAGAAAGCCCAGGGCUGUCCGGAAGCAGAGGCUGAGACUGAGCCUGGGGUCCCACCUUCCCUCCCUGGGGCCCUGCAAAGACUCCAGGCAUCCUGCAGGACCCGGGAUCUGAGGCUCCCACACAGACUCCAGAAUGGCCUUUCCUUCCACGUCUGAGUUCCCUUCUGCGUGGGGUCCCAGGUCUUCCUCCACCCCAUGGGCCAGAACCUUUUAUCUGGGAGCCCAGGGCUCUUUUCCCGGCCUUGCCUUGGGGGAGGCGUCUGAGUCCCGGAAGCUCACCUGCCGUCAUAGCUUUUGUCCACUUGCUUCCGAGGCACCACGCCUCGCUCUCCUGAGCGCCCAGUGCCGUGAUGAGUGUCGAGGACCAUGAUCCUCUUCACCUCUGUGUGCCUCUCUAAAAUCAAAGCCAGUCCUCUAACCAACCAACCCGGCCUCUGCUAAACAGACCAUAGCAGAGCCCUCCCACGU